GAUGAAGAACGUAGCGAAAUGCGAUAAGUAAUGUGAAUUGCAGAAUUCAGUGAAUCAUCGAAUCUUUGAACGCACAUUGCGCCCGCCAGUAUUCUGGCGGGCAUGCCUGUUCGAGCGUCAUUACAGCCCUCAGGCCCCCGGGCCUGGCGUUGGGGAUCGGCGGAAGCCCCCUGUGGGCACACGCCGUCCCUCAAAUACAGUGGCGGUCCCGCCGCAGCUUCCAUUGCGUAGUAGCUAACACCUCGCAACUGGAGAGCGGCGCGGCCAUGCCGUAAAACACCCAACUUCUGAAUGUUGACCUCGAAUCAGGUAGGAAUACCCGCUGAACUUAAGCAUAUCAAUAAGCGGAGGA
rnacentral:misc_RNA from 1 species